AUUGAAUGCUGGCGGAAUGCUUUACACAUGCAAGUCGAACGGCAGCACGGGUGCUUGCACCUGGUGGCGAGUGGCGAACGGGUGAGUAAUGCACCGGAACGUAUCCAAUAAUGGGGGAUAACGCACCGAAAGGUGUGCUAAUACCGCAUACGCCCUGAGGGGAAAGCGGGGGAUCGUAAGACCUCGCGUUAAUGGAGCGGCCGAUGCCGGAUUAGCUAGUUGGUGAGGUAAAGGCUCACCAAGGCGACGAUCCGUAGCUGGUCUGAGAGGACGACCAGCCACACUGGAACCUGAGACACGGUCCAGACUCCUACGGGAGGCAGCAGUGGGGAAUUUUGGGAC
rnacentral:rRNA from 1 species